UACAGAGGUCCCAAGCGUUGUUCGGAUUCACUGGGCGUAAAGGGUGCGCAGGUGGGUUUGCAAGUUUGAUGUGAAAGCCCCGGGCUUAACCCGGGAAUGGCAUUGAAUACUGCAGAUCUGGAGGAUUGGAGGGGGGACUGGAAUUCUCGGUGUAGCAGUGAAAUGCGUAGAUAUCGAGAGGAACACCAGUGGCGAAGGCGAGUCUCUGGACGACACCUGACACUGAGGCACGAAAGCUAGGGGAGCAAACAGG
rnacentral:rRNA from 1 species